UGAGGAAUAUUGGUCAAUGGGCGCAAGCCUGAACCAGCCAAGCCGCGUGAAGGAUGACGGCCCUAUGGGUUGUAAACUUCUUUUGUAUGGGAAGAACCCCCCGACGUGUCGGGGUUUGACUGUACUAUACGAAUAAGCAUCGGCUAACUCCGUGCCAGCAGCCGCGGUAAUACGGAGGAUGCAAGCGUUAUCCGGAUUCAUUAGGUAUAAAGGGUGCGUAGGCGGAUUUGUAAGUCAGUGGUGAAAUACUAUAGCUUAACUAUAGAACUGCCAUUGAUACUGCAAGUCUUGAGUACAAUUGAGGUAGGCGGAAUGUGUGGUGUAGCGGUGAAAUGCUUAGAUAUCACACAGAACACCGAUUGCGAAGGCAGCUUACUAAACUGUAACUGACGCUGAUGCACGAAAGCAUGGGGAGCAAACA
rnacentral:rRNA from 1 species